CUCCCCAGGGGCCACAGCAGACUAGGGGCUUCUGGAUUAUAAAACGGAGAAGUGGGCGCUCCUCGCCAAAAAAGGCUACCAGGAGCGGGACCUGGAACCCCAGAUUUCCAUCACAACCAAACUCAAAGGGGUUUCCGUGACUCAGAUCAAGGAGCUUGGAAACCGGCUGUGGGAUGUGGCCGACUUCGUGAAGCCACCUCAGGGAGAGAACGUGUUCUUCUUGGUGACCAACUUCCUUGUGACGCCAGCCCAAGAUCAGGGCAGAUGCCCAGAGAUACAGGGUCUUGCUAUGUUGCCCAGGCUGGAGUGAAGAGGCUAUUCACAGGUAUGAUCAAGCUCACUGCAGCCUUGAGCCUCCUAGGCUCAAGCCAUCCUCCCAACUCAGCCUUCUGAGUAACUGAGACUACAGGCGUGUACCACCAUUCCCAGCUAAUAAAGUCUAUUUUUAAAAAAUCACUUGACGAUAAA
rnacentral:lncRNA from 1 species